rnacentral:lncRNA from 1 species
AAAUUUCUGCCCUGGUUUUUCCUUAUCCCAUCAGCAAAUCUCUUCUUAGCCUUCAAAUGCCAAGCGUGCACUGACUGUACAUAACAGAACAUGACAGCGAAAGCCAUAGACUUCUCACAAGUGAAGAGUCUGAGAACAUUUGGAAUGUUGACAGUCGUUCAUGGAUAUGAGAAAGAACUAAGUCUGUAAAGCUUGAAGAAAUACCUGGCCUGAUUCCCGUUUAGGAAGAUGCCAAGUCUUUGAGGAAAGUAUCUACCUGGUCAUUAGGAAAGUUUGGAUAACAUGUGUAAUGAGACUGUAAUCACGUGUUCACCUGGACCUUUGGUCAAAUCACUGUGACACUUCAUUGACAAGAAAAAUAAAAUGCUGAGCUGAACCCAUCCUAUAUAUGGAUUUUUGUAAUAUUUUUCAAAAACGCUGUUUUGACAAAAUAGUAU